GUGACUUAGUGUGUUAACUGCUCCUGAAUAUGACGGAAUGGGGUCAGCAGAGAAACCGGUUCUGGCCACCAGAGAAACAAGAAUUCAAGACGGAGUGGGGGAAGGAUAAAACAGUCGCUAUUCAUUGAUGGACAAGAUUGUUUAUGACUAUGUGCAAAACCCUAAGAAGCCUACAAAAGAACUUCUAGAACUAAUACGAUUUCUAAUAAAGGACCCAGAAGAGUUUGACGAAAUUUUCAGAGACAACGGUCUCCAGGCCAGGCAAGUAGGAGGGAAUGAGUAAUAAAUUAUGACAUCUAUACAAUGGAGUAUCAUGUUGCCAUUAACAAGAAUGAAGCAGGGGGAUGCUCAGCGGUUUAGCGCCUGCCUGCGGCCCACGGCGUGACCCUGGAGACCCGGGAUCGAGUCCCAUGUCAGGCUCCCUGCAUGGAGCCUGCUUCUCCCUCUGCCUGUGUCUAUGCCCCUCUCUCUCU